GAGACAAAAAACCAGGACUAUAUUCGUACAUGGAACUGGGAUGUAACAUCCUACCCAUGACUUAAUUUAUAAGCAUUGUUUAUUCUCUUUGGAGCAAAUGAAAUGCUUUUCCAAGGGACAGCUGCAAAGGCCAAGGAUUUGAAAAGAAGAAAAUUAUGAUAAACCCCUCUUAAUGCAGGAAAGAUUAGAUAGCUUGCUACCAGAAAUCAAGAAAUAUUUAUAAUAAUCACAUUCAACCCUAGACUUUCCUCUAAGAAUCUAAACAGAAAACUUUAAUCCUCCAGAAUGUAAACUGAUGCCAUGGCUAUAUAUGGUCACAGAAAUCCUAAGGGGAAGAAAAAGAAAAGAAGAGGGGGAGAAAAAAUAAACACCCAGUUGCUGUGUCUCUUAAAUUGGUGUAUGUGUGUUCUACCACAGAGAUCUGUUAACCUUGGCAAAAUUUACAAGUAAGAAGCAUUAAUCAACUUUACACAAGUACACGUGACACUUUCCUUUUUAAGUGGAAGCCACAAACUCCUCUCCCUUUGGGAAAUCUCACUGUCAUGCUGAGGAUUUUUCUUCAUAGAUAAUACUACCAUGGCAAACAUCAAAAACAACUGGAUUCCAUAUUCUGUGGGCUUGACCGCCCCAUGAAGGCAAGCAAUAUUAACUUUUCUUGUGGUUGACUUCUUUUCUUUUUUUCUCCUUUCUCUACUUCUUUUGGCCUUUAGGCUAGAAAGACUGUUUCUUGAAAGUAUUCAACUAUUCUUGGAAAUUGCAACAUUUUCCUGCAUUCUUUCUAUGUUGAAGACACUUCCAGACUAAGUUUGGGUUCUAGGGAAUCUUGCAGAAGAUACUUCCUCCCCUGUAGUUAAUAAGCCAUCGCUUAUACCACGGUAUUUUGUUGUUUGACUCACGUCUCCAGUGUAACAGUGGAAAGUCAUUAUCUCUGGCUUUGGUGUUAACAUAGGGAGGGAUAGCAAAUUGCCUCACUCUACUAGUGAAUGAAUAGAAGAGAAAUCCUUGAUGGUUUAUCAAGAGAGGUAUUAUGGGAACACAAAGGAAAAAAAUAAAUUCUUACAAAAUACCAACAGCAGCCUUGCAAUCCCCGUCAAAAUGUACCCAACCAACUUAAGGGGGAAAAAAAAAUUCAAACUAUGUCCUAGCCAUAAAUUGAAGAAAGAAGUCCAGAAAUGUUAAAAAUGUUUAUAAUCAUCAAAAUUAGUAUUUUUUGCCUUGAAGGAUGUCUCUUUAAAAGGCUAUUCUUACCAGGUUUUGUGUUGUAAUAUUAAAAGUGGCUUACAAAAGAGUGAAUGUCAAUUGCAAAAUUAAAUUUAUCUCUGGGUAUGUGAUUCUAUCUCUUUACUAAUAUACAAAGCUGUCUUGAAUGAUUUACACCUACUUUCCACCCACAGGUCCUCUGCCAGGGUCAAUCUCAGCAGAAACAUGACUCUUCAAAAAUAGAUCAUCACAGUUGUGAUUAAAUCUCCCAUGUUCAAAAUUUACAGCCUAUAAUUCAAUGCCGAUAUGAAUAAUGACUUAAAUAAAAAGUUACAGUCACCCUCUUUCCCCUUCCCCCUAAAAUGACCCCAAGACUAAUUUACAGUUGUGGGAGGUGGGGACUAAGAGCUCUUGAGUAUCUAUUUUAAGCUAGGCAUUUUUCAAGUUUUUUUACUUACAUAACCCUAUUUAGCCUGCCGAACAAUCCAGUGGAAUAGUACUAAUUUAUCUAAUUUACACAUAAGGAAAUGAAGGCUGAGAGAACUUGAGUAACUUAGCCAAAUAGUACAGUUGGAUCCGAGGCUCAGAAUUCCCACUUUUUCCUUCCUACAAACAAACAGUAGAUAAACAAAAUAUUCAUGUAAGGCUUAAUGGCAGGUGGCAUGAGAGUACUGAAUUUCAUUGUAUGUAUCUGCACCCUCCAUUCCCCCAUCUUUUGCCAUUUGUGCUCCAUAUUCCCUGACAGUGCACCAAAAACAAUAGGUUUAGGUAUUCUCUUUCAGAUAUCUUCCAAACAAGUGUGCAUAAAAUGGACUAGAAGGCAACUUGAUAGAGCAAAUAAAUUCACGUGCUCUUCUCAAGAAAUCUGAGAAGAGGUAUCAGAUACACUCCUUGCCUGACCCAGUGUGAAACACAGGACGCAGUGAGGUAAAGUUUGGACUUUUCCAUCCUCAGAGCACACACAAAUCCACUGAGGAUUAAAACCACACAACCAGGAAAAAAUGUUAAGUUACAGAAAGAGCUCUUUAAAGCCAAAAGUCAUACAGCUCAUGAGAAGAGAGAAGUCACUUUGUGCUCAGGUGAACAGGAAAACUUUAAAGAAAAGAUGGAAUAAGGCCAGGCACAGCGGCUCAUCUCUGUAAUCACAGCACUUUGGAAGGCCAAGGCAGGUGGGUUCCUUGAGCCCAGGAGUUCCAGACCAGCCCGGGAAAUAUGGGGAGACCCUGUCUCUGUAUUUAUAUAUAUAUUUAUAUUAAAAACAAAAACAAAAACAAAAUUUAAAAAAGAAAAGAUGAAAUGAAUAAAAAUAAUUUAUAUAUGGAAA
rnacentral:lncRNA from 10 species